rnacentral:rRNA from 1 species
GACGAACGCUGGCGGCGUGCUUAACACAUGCAAGUCGAACGGAAAGGCCCUGCUUUUGUGGGGUGCUCGAGUGGCGAACGGGUGAGUAACACGUGAGUAACCUGCCCUUGACUUUGGGAUAACCUCAGGAAACUGGGGCUAAUACCGGAUAGGAGCUCCUGCUGCAUGGUGGGGGUUGGAAAGUUUCGGCGGUUGGGGAUGGACUCGCGGCUUAUCAGCUUGUUGGUGGGGUAGUGGCUUACCAAGGCUUUGACGGGUAGCCGGCCUGAGAGGGUGACCGGCCACAUUGGGACUGAGAUACGGCCCAGACUCCUACGGGAGGCAGCGGUGGGGAAUAUUGCACAAUGGGCGGAAGCCUGAUGCAGCAACGCCGCGUGCGGGAUGACGGCCUUCGGGUUGUAAACCGCUUUCGCCUGUGACGAAGCGUGAGUGACGGUAAUGGGUAAAGAAGCACCGGCUAACUACGUG